GUGAGUGCACUCGCUUCUAUCCAACACAAAUAUCCACACCAACAUUCAUGCAUCAGUCAGGUGUGUGUGAGUGCACUCGCUUCUAUCCAACACAAAUAUCCAAACAAACAUCCAUGAGCAUCAGUCAGGUGUGUGUGAGUGCACUCGCUUCUAUCCAACACAAAUAUCCAAACAAACAUCCAUGAGCAUCAGUCAGGUGUGUGUGAGUGCACUCGCUUCUAUCAAACACAAAUAUCCAAACAAACAUCCAUGCAUCAGUCAGGUGUGUGUGAGUGCACUCGCUUCUAUCCAACACAAAUAUCCAAACCAACAUCCAUGAGCAUCAGUCUGGUGUGUGUGAGUGCACUCGCUUCUAUCCAACACAAAUAUCCAAACAAACAUCCAUGCAUCAGUCUGGUGUGUGUGAGUGCACUCGCUUCUAUCAAACACAAAUAUCCAAACAAACAUCCAUGCAUCAGUCAGGUGUGUGUGAGUGCACUCGCUUCUAUCCAACACAAAUAUCCAAACCAACAUCCAUGAGCAUCAAGUGGUGUGUGAGUGCACUCACUUCUAUCCAACACAAAUAUCCAAACAAACAUCCAUGCAUCAGUCUGGUGUGUGUGAGUGCACUCGCUUCUAUCCAACACAAAUAUCCAAACAAACAUCCAUGCAUCAGUCUGGUGUGUGUGAGUGCACUCGCUUCUAUCCAACACAAAUAUCCAAACCAACAUCCAUGAGCAUCAGUCAGGUGUGUGUGAGUGCACUCGCUUCUAUCCAACACAAAUAUCCAAACCAACAUCCAUGAGCAUCAGUCAGGUGUGUGUGAGUGCACUCGCUUCUAUCCAACACAAAUAUCCACACCAACAUCCAUGAGCAUCAGUCAGGUGUGUGACGUAGCGAGCAUAUUCAAAUAUAUCCUAGUUCGCAGUAGGCGAAGAACCAGCGCUUUGUGUCACAAAUGCAGAUUUUAUAGCAAGCAAGAUUGCUCCCUUUGUGUCCCUUUUCAAUGACUAUAAUAAUCCAUAGUGAAUAAACUACUGGUGAACGUGACGUCUACGUAAGAAAGAAGCUGCCAGAAAUAUUCUGUAUUUCAAGUGCUCAGCACAUUUAUGUAUAAAGCAGUUUAUGUUGUGUGUAUGCAAAAAAAUAAAAUGUGGAGCUCAAA